ensembl:lncRNA
CGAGCAGGGACAUUCCUGCCCAUCUGCUCAGCCCUGCCUCUGUUUUCCAGCAGACUGGCAAGGGCGUGGGAUCCUCGUGGGUUUCUGUGGCUCCUUAAGUUCUGCGUGAGGAACUUAAUGAGCAGGAUUUCCCAGCAGAUCGGUGCUGAGCAGCUGGCAGAGGCGGUCAGAGCAACUGUCCUGGCCAUUCUAUGAUCUUCAUGGCUCCCAUUUGCAGCAGUUGGAGAGGGAGUUCCCGACCCUCGUAAAGGAAAUCCUGCCAAAGGAGCCAUCGGGAUUUCCACGGGAAGGGAACGGAGCAGGGACAUCCAGCUGCAUUGUGCUGCAGCUGCUCAAUCACCGACCCCAUUGAGGAAAAACUGCGUGGCUUAAGAAAGCAGCUUGCAAGCAGACCAGGAGGAUGCUCCCUCCUUAACAGGGGAAUGAGCACAGACCCCCGGCUCAGUCAGGCACCCAGCAGUACCGAAUCACAGAGUAAUACCCAGCCUGCACCUCCUGGCACAACUUAGGGCCGUUCCCUCUUGUCCCAGCACGUCUCCCUGUCACACAUCGUGGUGUGCUGGGACCGAGGGACACCGAUGUCCACGGCUUCAGUCCUUACAUCUCCUCCCAGUAUCAGUAUUUCCUCCAUUUAAGGGUUUGGAUCACGACGCUACAGUUCACCUCCCAGCCGAGCUUUCAGCAGCAGAGCUGCAGAGAUGAUUCAGGGCUACAGAUUCCGCCCCCCCCCCCCCCCGUCCCCCCCGGGGCGACAUUUUCUGCCGG